rnacentral:rRNA from 1 species
AUCAAAUAAAACUUUCAACAACGGAUCUCUUGGUUCCAGCAUCGAUGAAGAACGCAGCGAAAUGCGAUAAGUAAUGUGAAUUGCAAAAUUCAGUGAAUCAUCGAAUCUUUGAACGCACAUUGCGCCCUCUGGUAUUCCGGGGGGCAUGCCUGUUCAAGCGUCAUUUCACCACUCAAGCCUGGCUUGGUAUUGGGCGUCCCGG